UUCCCAGAGGACCUGCGGGGCUGAAUGU
rnacentral:piRNA from 1 species